rnacentral:rRNA from 1 species
CCCUUAGGACGGGGAUAAACCCGGGAAACUGGGUAUAAUACCCGAUAGGUCUCGAUUGCUGGAAUGCAUCGAGAUUUAAAGCUCCGGCGCCUAAGGAUGGGUCUGCGGCCUAUCAGGUAGUAGUGGGUGUAGCGUACCUACUAGCCUACGACGGGUACGGGUUGUGAGAGCAAGAGCCCGGAGAUGGAUUCUGAGACACGAAUCCAGGCCCUACGGGGUGCAGCAGGCGCGAAAACUUUACAAUGCUGGCAACAGCGAUAAGGGAACCUCGAGUGCCAGGUUACAAAUCUGGCUGUCGAGAUGCCUAAAAAGCAUUUCAUAGCAAGGGCCGGGCAAGACCGGUGCCAGCCGCCGCGGUAACACCGGCGGCUCGAGUGGUAACCGUUAUUAUUGGGUCUAAAGGGUCUGUAGCCGGCCGGAUAAGUCUCUUGAGAAAUCUGGCAGCUUAACUGUCAGGCUUUCAGGAGAUACUGUCUGGCUCGAGGCCGGGAGAGGUGAGAGGUACUUCAGGGGUAGGGGUGAAAUCUUGUAAUCCUUGAAGGACCACCAGUGGCGAAGGCGUCUCACCAGAACGGACCUGACGGCAAGGGACGAAAGCUAGGGGCACGAACCGGAUUAGAUACCCGGGUAGUCCUAGCCGUAAACGAUACUCGCUAGGUGUCGGCCACGGUGCGACCGUUGUCGGUGCCGUAGGGAAGCCGUGAAGCGAGCCACCUGGGAAGUACGGCCGCAAGGCUGAAACUUAAAGGAAUUGGCGGGGGAGCACCACAACGGGUGGAGCUUGCGGUUUAAUUGGAUUCAACGCCGGG